rnacentral:tRNA from 2 species
GCCGAAGUGGCGGAACAGGCAGACGCGCUACGUUCAGGGCGUAGUGAGCAAUUGCUCGUGCGAGUUCAAAUCUCGCCUUCGGCACCA